rnacentral:rRNA from 1 species
UACGAAGGGGGGCUAGCGUUGCUCGGAAUCACUGGGCGUAAAGCGCACGUAGGCGGAUUGUUAAGUCAGGGGUGAAAUCCUGGAGCUCAACUCCAGAACUGCCUUUGAUACUGGCGAUCUCGAGUCCGGGAGAGGUGAGUGGAACUGCGAGUGUAGAGGUGAAAUUCGUAGAUAUUCGCAAGAACACCAGUGGCGAAGGCGGCUCACUGGCCCGGUACUGACGCUGAGGUGCGAAGCGUGGG